CAGAGGAGCCAAGCGUUGUCCGGAUUGACUGGGCGUAAAGCGCACGCAGGCGGAUGCGCGCGUGGGGUGUGAAAUCUGGCCGCUUAACGGCCAGGCGCCAUCCCAUACGGCGCGUCUGGAGCCUUGCAGAGGUCGGUGGAAUUGCCGGUGUAGUGGUGAAAUGCGUAGAGAUCGGCAGGAACACCCAGGGGGAAACCAGCCGACUGGGCAAGCGCUGACGCUGAUGUGCGAGAGCGUGGGGAGCGAACCGGAUUAGAUACCCGGGUAGUCCACGCCGUAAACGAUGGCCACUCGGCCUUUGGGUGGGGAACCUCCUCACCUGGGGGCCUUAGCAAACGCGGGAAGUGGCCCGCCUGGGAACUACGAGCGCAAGCUUA
rnacentral:rRNA from 1 species